GUCCACGCGCUGCGGCCUUGGAGUAACUGCUGUUCUUAAAGGCUGCCUCCGUCCUGCCGCGCGGCCUUUAGAGGGUUGGAGCUGGCAGAACCGUAACUCCCUCUCUGAGGGUGAAUACGGGCCUUGAUUGCCAGAAGGGCCCUCGGCCGGGGACGCGGGAUGAUGCGGGGCCGGGAGAUGCUUUCCUGGAGGCUGAGAAACCUGGAGGGAGACCCCCAAAACUUCUCAGUUCGCCGACCCCUUGGUCCCAGAGGGAGAGGAGCAUCCCCAAAGAACAUUCAAGUCUGAGCCUCAAGGAGCCUCUGCGACUCGGUGUCUAGAUCCAGGAAAUGGAGAAUGAGCCGUGACUUUGGAUGCUUCACUCUUGUCCAUCAGGCUCGGAAUUGGGUAGCCCGGCUCUGCAGGGACAGUCACGGAGCUGAAAAACUGCUGCCUAAUGAAGCUGUUUUCUUCUACCACCGGCUCACCCUCAAAUUAUUUCCUGAGCGAACUCAAGAACCUUCCUGGGCUAAGCCCCAAUUUUGGGGCUCGCCUGCCCCUGCAUCACAGCUUCCUCUUCUGUUCACAGCUGCAACCGCCUACUCAACCUUCUGCGGUUCCUCUCCCUGCCCCUCCACAGUGGCUGCUGAUGGGAGCUCUGGCUCCCUGCGUUUUCACUAUCUCCCAGUCAAAUGCAGAGUCCCUGUGCAAUUUAAAUGCUUCUCAGCUAAGAACAGAGAAGGGGAUAGCAUAAGGAUAUUCAAAAGAUUCAAGAAAUCUCAAAAGUGAUCACAAAACAUUUGUCUCUGACCAACCAGAAACAUCGACGGGUGAGAAGGGCAUUUCCUCUAGCUGAAUUCUUCAUGGGUCUUCAGGCUCUGUUUUCACUUUGGAUUUUCUGGAGUCUCCUGAAGGUUACCUGAAAUCUUGUUGGUCCUGAAUAUUGUAUGUGGAGUCCCAAGCUGCAAGAAGUCAGUGGGGCUGGACGGGAGCCAAAAUCAGAGACUCAAGCAGCACAGCUGGGCCCCAUUGAAAGUGAGACCAGCUGUCCCAGUUGGAAGCUGGGGUAUAGAGCUGGGGAUGGGUGGAGGCAGUGACAGGCUCCAUGUAUUGGUCAUUCAGACUCCCCAGUAGCCUCAGGACCCAACUCCCACAGGUCAGAGAAGACCUGGUGGAGGGCCUUAUGCAAACCUCAGUGGGUGAUGCAGGAGGGAGUUUUCUGAGCAGGAAUGCCAACAAAAAAGGCCUUCAAAGGAAGGCCCUGCUUGGGACAAUCCUGCCUCUUUAUGGUCUGGUUCACAGGUUCCCCUGGGUGGGGUAAUGGAAUCCAAGCUAAGGUGUCUGACUUCAAAAGUUUUCAGAAAUGCCACUUUUGUAAGCAUCAGGGAUUGGGUUUUCUGAGAUGCAAAACAUCUUUGUUAAGGGGUUAAAGCAUCCUUAAGCUGUUUAGGUUUCUGGGGAUACAUAGACUUAGGAAGUUAGAGCAGGUGAAGUUGAGGGGGAUGGGAACUAAGAAUUAGCUCAAAAUAGUCACCAAUGCAGAAACCCAGGCACUUGGGACCCUGACAGUGGGGAAGGCAGAGGAGUAACUGUGGGGACUUGGGCACCCUAUUAGCAGAAUGGGGUAACAGAGAAGGCAAGAAUUGCUUCCCAGGAGACUGGGCUGGGAACAGGAAGGGGACUAAAAUGCUGUCCCUGGCUGAAGAGUGUGGAGGUAUAGAGGAGCUGGUAGCAGGGCUCUGAAUCCAUACACGAGAGCAAGGACCAGUGGUUUCAGGGUGGGAUAGGGCUUUGAUGUCUUCAUGGACUUAGGGUAAUAUUCACCACCAUGGUGAAUUCCACAAAGGAGAAUUCACACAAAGGUCUCGGACCAGCCAGUUUCCAUGUGAAAAAGCCAUCUGGGAGCAAGGGAACAAACCCAGGAAUACAACUGUAUUGGGGGAAAUUCAGCCAGACAUAGGGCAAAAUUCACCCCCAAUAUUUCAUGUAGGUUCUUUUCUAUUUUCCGUAAGUGUCGGCCGGUCUGAGAAAUAAAGGGACAGAGCUCAAAAGAGAGAAAUUUUAAAGCUGGGUGUCUGGGGGAGACAUCACAUGUCGGCAGGUUCCGUGAUGCCCCCCGAGCCGUAAAACCAGCAAGUUUUUAUUCGUGAUUUUCAAAAGGGGAGGGGGAGUGUAUGAAUAGGGUGUGGGUCACAGAGAUCACAUGCUUCACAAGAUAAUAAGAUAUCACAAGGCAAAUGGAGGCAGGGCGAGAUCACAGGACCACAGGACCGGGGCAAAAUUAAAAUUGCUAAUGAAGUUUCGGGCAUGCAUUUUCAUUGAUAACAUCUUAUCAGGAGACAGGGUCUGAGAGCAGACAACCGGUCUGACCAAAAUUUAUUAGGCGGGAAUUUCCUCGUCCUAAUAAGCCUGGGAGCGCUAUGGGAGACUGGGGCUUAUUUCAUCCCUACAGCUUUGACCAUAAAAGACGGCCGCCCCCCGAAGCGGCCAUUUCGGAGGCCUACCCUCAGGGACACAUUCUCUUUCUCAGGGAUGUUCCUUGCUGAGAAAAAAAAUUUAGCGAUAUUUCUCCCAUUUGUUUUUGAAAGAAGAAAAAUAUGGCUCUGUUCUGCCUGGCUCACCGGCAGUCAGAGUUUAAGGUUAUCUCUCUUGCUCCCUGAACAUUGCUGUUAUCCUGUUCUUUUUUCAAGGUGCCCAGAUUUCAUAUUGUUCAAACACACAUGCUCUACAAACAAUUUGUGCAGUUAACGCAAUCAUCACAGGGUCCUGAGGCGACAUACAUCCUCCUCAUUUUACAAAGAUGAUGGGAUUAAGAGAUUAAAGACAGGCAUAGGAAAUCACAAGGGUAUUGAUUGGGGAAGUGAUAAGUGUCCAUGAAAUCUUCACAAUUUAUGUUCAGAGAUUGCAGUAAAGACAGGCGUAAGAAAUUAUAAAAGUAUUAAUUUGGGGAACUAAUAAAUGUCCAUGAAAUCUUCACAAUCCACAAUUAUUCUGCCAUGGCUUCAGCCGGUCCCUCCAUUUGGGGUUCCUGACUUCCCGCAACACAAGUGGAGAGAGAGGUGGCCUGACAUUAUGGCUAAGUUGAUAUGGAAGCAUUCUGGUUUGUUCUAGAAAAAAUGAAAGAGGUGGUGCAGGUAAUCAUCAGCUCCUGGUUCUGUAGCAAGGCUUUUGCUGCAAUCCCAGGAGGUAGCAACCUAGGCUUUGGUUCUGAAAGAAGAGGGUCUACCUUCCUGAAUCAUUUUUAGGAGUCUGCUGAUGGCCAGGCUUGGUGAGUUGGACUCUGUAAGGAAUUUUUAUUUAAGUGAGGUCUGGGUAGGAAAAGAGAAGGGAAAAACUUGACCCUGCCUGCACCAAAGGAUUCUGGGAAGGAGAAUAAAGAGAAAAACCCUUCUUCAUGUUUCUGCUUCAGAGCAGGAGAACCAUCACAAGCUAAGUAAAGUCAAUGAAGGGCGAGUGGCCCUAUGGCCACCUGGGCACACACCUGCCCCUUGGCCACCUUGCAUAGGCAGGCUGAGGAGGUCACUAAGGCUUGGUUUUCCUGACCUGCCCUGAUUCCACAUGCUGUAAGGAGGACCCAGAAGGCUGUGUGGCUACAGAGGUGCCCAGCAUGGUGGGGGUCACUUCAGUGUGGACACUAGACUGGACCGCGUGGAACUACAACCAGCUCAGAGCGCCAGCCAGAGUGCUGUUCUGGCCAGAAGGAGGAGCCAAGACCCACACCCAGGAGGACAAUGAGCCCCUCUCUGCAGACAGGAGCCAGCCACACCUGGGGUCUGGGGAGACUCUUCCUGAUUCCAAAUGGGACUGAACUUUAAACCAGACUGGGCAUUUGAGCAAUUUUUUAAAAGCUGUCAACCAAAUAAAGGAAUGCCAUUUUCUUUACCCAGUCA
rnacentral:lncRNA from 1 species